CCAGAUCCGUCCUCUACCCGGUCCAAAACCCCAUCUUUAAUGAAAUGGCGCCGCUUAGAGUUCCCAGUCCUGAAAUGAUGCGAGCCCUUUAUCUUAGUCUAUCUGACGGCCUAGAACACUUCCUUCAUUAUCCUUAAAUAUGUCCUAAAGUGGCAGAGACCAAACAGACCCUCCCCUUCCCCCUCCUCCCUCCUCCCAUCUCUAACCUCUAAACCUAGACCCGCCGCCCUGAGUUUCUUCACCAUCUACGAUCGGCGGCGGAGCUCAAACCACCACGAAACAGCCUUAAGUCUCUCCCCUGCAACCCUUAAACCCCACUGAACAUGAGGAUAACACGAAAUUUCCCAGAACCCCCACCUUCCCCCUUCAAUUCCAAAUUUGAGAAUCUAAAAAGCCUAAGACAUCCCUAACGUUAAAUUUCAUGUAUUCGAGGCCCGGUGUGACUCAAGACUUAUGUUAGUUGAUUGUUCUCCCUCUGAACAACGGAUUAAUGGUAGUUUUGGCUCACUCCGGGAAUUACCAGUCUUCAACCAUACCAUGGACAUUGAUUUUCACGGGUAAUCCUUAAACUUCUUAUUUGAGUUCUUCUAGCAAAUUUUAAUUUUGUUUCUAUGAUUAAAGAAUUUCACAAGAAAAAGAAAAUUUACACAUUAGUAAGAAAUAUUAUGGAUAAGUAUAGAUAAGUAAUGCUACUGGUUUUAAUUCAUUCACGUAUUUAAGAAUUUUUCUUUGUGAAAAAUCCAUAGAACUUUAUAAAAUUAGAUAAAUAAAUUAUAUGAACAAGUUAAAGUUGAUAGAUUACUAAUUACUCAGAGCAUGAGCAGAGAAAAUAAAAUCGGGAAAUUUAGACUCAAACACAAACCCCGAUGAUUGAGUAUUCUAAAUUAGGUAAAGAUUUAGCAUAAAUAAGGCAAUUAACAUGAGAUAAAUGUUAUGAAAUUAUAGAUUGAUGAGAGGAAUUUGUACGAAUUGCUCGAGGUGAAGCAUUUGAUAUUUUGGUACGAGUACUAUGAUUAGUAAUGUUACCACAAUUUGUGUUUUCAUAACCUGCAUGGUUUAUAUAUUACUUGAAAAUAAAUGUGUUACCGAUGCUUUGAAAUUGCAUGUGGGACAAGUCAUUUACUUGAUAUGGUACCGAACAUUUUACUUGAGAUGUUUACCAGUUAAUUUUAAUAUUUGUUUUACCAUUACUAGAUAUAUUUUACCGUUACGUGAGAUGUUACAGUUAUUUGAAUUAUUAUCACUGUUACUAAAUAUGUUUUACUGUUACUUGAGACAUGAUUACCGUUACCGAAAUAAAAUUACAAGAUUUGAUAAGAAACUAUAUGCCCUUUAUUAUUUUGAAUAUGCUUUUGUAUGAAUAUUUACUAUUUACGAAAAAGAGUAUAAAUGGUAGGAGACGAUAUGCCCCUUAUUAUUUCGAAAAUGCUUUUGUACGACUAUUUACUGUUUACAAAAAAGUGCAUAAAUGGGAGGAGACUUUGAAGGAUCCCGUAGCUAAAGGCGUGUUCGUUAGACCUGGCUUGUAUUUACAGAUUACCGAUUACAGUUAUAGCCCUCGCUAGUGAGAAGGUAGAACUAGCAUACAAAUACAGUUUUCUACAGUUAUACUUGACUCCUUUUAUGAAGGGGUCCACAUAGUGAUACAGAUUAGAUGAUCCGUUUCUGGAAACCUCCCAAAUAUAAAGACUUGAUAUGACACAGUAUUUACCGAGUUUAUUACUGAAUUAUUAAAGUGAUUUUAUUACAGGAAAUACAUGACGAGACUGAGUAAUAUUACUGUUUUAAAAAGGACAUUUUAUUUUGUGAUUAUUAUGCAAGCAUGUUUUCUGACUUGUCCCCAAAUAAAAACGGUUGUGGUUAAGUGUUACUACUCACUGAGCUAGAGACUCAUUCCCCACUAAUUUUUUUUGCAGAGACAGCAGUUGACGUAGGAGGGGAUUUCGUUACUUAGAGCGUACAGGUUGAGAAUUCUUGGUGAGCCUCGCACUUGUUCGCGUGGUCGGAGAUUUUUAUCAUAUGUUAUGGUCUUUUCUUUAAAUUCUUAGAAUCACUCCAUAGUCAUUCUUUUAGUGUUAUGAGUAUUAAUUGCUAUUAGUCUUAUGUUGAGUAUUGUUUUUAGUAUUAAAGUUGGAGAUACUUAGUCUUUCUAGUUGCUAGUUGGUGGUUUAGUCAUGGUGGAUACUUGUGUUUGUUAAUUGACAUGUUGUCAAUCGUUUGGUAUGAUAUUAGGAUGUUUGGUUGUUGAUUUGAGACAGGAAAAUUUUUCUUGGAUGGUCCAAAAAUAGCGAAAACUUUGUCCGAUUUUCUGUAAAAUUACCGGUGAGGCUUAAUUGGGAGCAGUUGCUCCUAAGCGCCGGUCACAAUCCUAAAUUGGGUCGUGACAUCAACCAUACUAAAGUAACAAAUACC
rnacentral:lncRNA from 1 species